rnacentral:rRNA from 1 species
UACGGAGGGUGCAAGCGUUGUUCGGAAUUAUUGGGCGUAAAGGGCGCGUAGGCGGUAGCGUUAGUCAGAUGUGAAAUACUUCGGCUCAACUGAAGAACUGCAUUUGAUACUGCGCAACUAGAGUACAGAAGAGGGAAACGGAAUUCCCGGUGUAGAGGUGAAAUUCGUAGAUAUCGGGAGGAACACCAGUGGCGAAGGCGGUUUCCUGGUCUGAUACUGACGCUGAGGCGCGAAAGCGUGGGGAGCAAACAGG